UGACUGCGUACCUUUUGUAUAAUGGGUCAGCGACUUACAUUCAGUGGCAAGCUUAACCGAAUAGGGAAGGCGUAGGGAAACCGAGUCCGAAUAGGGCGAUUCAGUCGCUGGGUGUAGACCCGAAACCAAGUGAUCUAUCCAUGGCCAGGAUGAAGGUGCCGUAACAGGUACUGGAGGUCCGAACCGACUAAUGUUGCAAAAUUAGCGGAUGAGCUGUGGAUAGGGGUGAAAGGCUAAACAAACUUGGAGAUAGCUGGUUCUCUCCGAAAACUAUUUAGGUAGUGCCUCAAGUAUUACCUGCGGGGGUAGAGCACUGUUUUGGCUAGGGGGUCAUGGCGACUUACCAAACCAAGGCAAACUCCGAAUACCGCAGAGUACAGCUUGGGAGACAGAGCACCGGGUGCUAACGUCCGGACUCAAGAGGGAAACAACCCAGACCGCCAGCUAAGGUCCCUAAUAUUGGCUAAGUGGGAAACGAAGUGGGAAGGCUAAAACAGUCAGGAUGUUGGCUUAGAAGCAGCCAUCAUUUAAAGAAAGCGUAAUAGCUCACUGAUCGAGUC
rnacentral:rRNA from 1 species